rnacentral:rRNA from 1 species
UAGAGGUGAUGACGAGUUCAAUUGCGAGCGAAGCGGCAAAUCCUACACUGACAAGAAAAGCCUCUAGCGAGUUACGUUGGUGUCCGUACUGUAAACCGACACAGGUGGGUGGGGUGAGAAACCUAAGGCGUUGAGUGAAACCUCGUUAAGGAACUCGGCAACUUGACACCGUAACUUCGGGAGAAGGUGUGCCCUCGCUAGGUGUAAGAAUUCACUUCUGAAGCCGGGGAGGGUGGCACAAAAAUGGCCGGGGCGACUGUUUACUAAAAACAUAGGACUCUGCUAAAUCGCAAGAUGAUGUAUAGGGUCUGAUGCCUGCCCGGUGCCGGAAGGUUAAGGGGAUCUGUUAUUCGCAAGGAGAAGCAGUGAACCGAAGCCCCGGUAAACGGCGGCCGUAACUAUAACGGUCCUAAGGUAGCGAAAUUCCUUGUCGGGUAAGUUCCGACCUGCACGAAUGGCAUAACGAUCUCGGCGGUGUCUCAACGAGGGGCUCAGUGAAAUUGCAGUGCCAGUGAAGAUACUGGCAACCCGCGGAAGGACGGUAAGACCCCGUGGACCUUUACUACAACUUGACAGUGUGUCUUGGGUAGGUCUGUGUAGGGUAGGUGGGAGGCUUUGAAGCCGGGUCGCUAGAUUCGGUGGAGCCAACCUUGAAAUACCACCCUGAUCUACUCGGGAUACUACCUGCUCCCGUUAUCCGGGAGAGGGACACUGUCUGGUGGGUAGUUUGACUGGGGCGGUCGCCUCCCAAACAAUAACGGAGGCGCGCUAAGGUUCCCUCAGGCUGAUUGGAAACCAGCCGUUGAGUGUAAAGGCAUAAGGGAGCUUGACUGCGAGAGGGACACCUCGAGCAGGUGCGAAAGCAGGUCUUAGUGAUCCGGUGGUUCCGAAUGGAAGGGCCAUCGCUCAUCGGAUAAAAGGUACCCCGGGGAUAACAGGCUUAUCUCCCCCAAGAGUUCACAUCGACGGGGAGGUUUGGCACCUCGAUGUCGGCUCAUCGCAUCCUGGGGCUGGAGCAGGUCCCAAGGGUUUGGCUGUUCGCCAAUUAAAGCGGUACGCGGGCUGGGUUUAGAACGUCGUGAGACAGUUCGGUCCCUAUCCUCCGUGGGCGGAGGAAAUUUGAGAGAGGCUGUCCCUAGUACGAGAGGACCGGGAUGGACGAACCUCUGGUGCUCCAGUUGUCGCGCCAGCGGCAUAGCUGGGUAGCUACGUUCGGCACGGAUAACCGCUGAAAGCAUCUAAGUGGGAAACCGUUCUCAAGAUUAGAUUUCCCUCCCGUUUCU